GGAAAACUGAGGAAUGACACAUAUUCUUCCCACAAUCUGCCUGCCAACAGACCUUGGAGAUAAAUAUAAAGGGUCAGGGACAAAUGUGGUUAAAGACAAAACCAUGAACUGGCCACAUCUAUGCAGAGUUUCAGUUCUGUCUCUGGGUGACCAGGACUCCAGGAUGUUGCUGAGACUUUCUCAUCACUUGACAAGAUCCUAGAGACAAAAUAAACAUGGUAUGCAUGAUGUACA
rnacentral:lncRNA from 1 species